UUUAUUUUUUGACAAUUUUAUCAUGUCUUUUUAAAAAGUUAAGGAAAGCAGACAUUUGUUUCUUCUUUUUUUUUUGUGAUUCUUUCUCUGUGGGUGCAGUAGCAUUAUCUUCAUCAUCUGACAAAUUUAUAUACGCUUCUUGAUCUGCAGCAUCAUUAUAUUCAUCAUGUUCUUCUACUUUUUCUUCUUUUCCUUCUUCUCUUUCCAUUUCUUCAUCGCCUUGUUUGGGAUUCUCUUGUUUUUCUGUUUCUUCAACAUUGCAAGUAGAAUGAUGAUCUCUGUAUUCAACCUGUAUAAAUAAUUACAAGUUCCCAAAUACAAGCCAGGACACACUUAUUAGUCAUUUAAAUCACUUUAAAAAAGCUUUUAAAAUCCGUUGUAAAAUCUUAUCGAGCACUGUCUACCCUUUAAAAACGAAUUUCAAUCUUUUAAAACCCCAAUAAGAAGUCUUUAAAACCCCUUGUAAAUACAUAUCUAACACUGCUUAUCUUUUUAAAACGGCUAAAAAUCUUUAAAACACGAUUUAUAAGCUUUUAAAAUCCCUUGUAAAAACACAUACCUUUUCUUCUUCCUCUUCUUUUCCUUCUUCCUUUUGCUUUUCUUCUUCCCCUUCCAUUUCUUCAUCGCCUUGUUUGGGGAUUUCUUGUUUUUCUGUCCCUUCGUCGCCUCUGUAUUCAACCUGUAUAUAAAAUUACAAGUUUUAUAACUACAAGUUACUCAUGUAAAUCACUUAUAAAGAGCUUUUAAAAUCCGUUGUAAAAUCUUAUCGAACACUGCCUAUCACUUAAAAACGAAUUUCAAUCUUUUAAAACCCCAUUAAGAAGUCUUUAAAAUCCCUUGUAAAAACACAUACCUUUUCUUCUUCCUCUUCUUUUCCUUCUUCCUCUUGCUUUUCUUCUUCCCCUUCCAUUUCUUCAUCGCCUUGUUUGGGGAUUUCUUGUUUUUCUGUCCCUUCGUCGCCUCUGUAUUCAAUCUGUAUAUAAAAUUACAAGUUUUAUAACUACAAGUUACUCAUGUAAAUCACUUUUUAAAAAGCUUUUAAAAUCCGUUGUAAAUACUUAUCGAACACUGCCUAUCCUUUAAAACGAAUUUAAAUCUUUAAAACCCCAUUAAGAUGUCUUUAAAAUCCCUUGUAAAUACAUAUCUAACACGGCCUAUCUUUUAAAAACGGCUAAAAAUCUUUAAAACACGAUCUAUAAGCUUUUAAAAUCCCUUGUAAAAACACAUACCUUUUCUAAUUUCUCUUCUUUUCCUUCUUCCUCUUGCUUUUCUUCUUCCUGCUCCUUUUUUUCGUCCUCUUCUUUUUGUUCUUCUCUAGUAUAACUGGCAGGAACUCUUUCGAUGCCUAAAUAGCCCUCCAGCCUUCCAACUUUCUUCUUAAGAACCUCACAAUUUUCAUAUACCAGUUUUACCUUCUCACCAAAGGACAUUGAUUUCCUUUUUCUGCUUUAAU
rnacentral:sRNA from 1 species